CAGAGGGGGCAAGCGUUGUUCGGAAUUACUGGGCGUAAAGGGCGCGUAGGCGGCCUGUUAAGUCGAACGUGAAAUCCCCCGGGCUCAACUCUGGAACUGCCUUUGAUACUGGACACCUAGAGUACGGGAGAGGUGUGUGGAACUCCGAGUGUAGAGGUGAAAUUCGUAGAUAUUCGGAAGAACACCAGUGGCGAAGGCGACACACUGGCCCGUUACUGACGCUGAGGCGCGAAAGCGUGGGGAGCAAACAGG
rnacentral:rRNA from 1 species